CCAGACUCCUACGGGAGGCAGCAGUGGGGAAUAUUGCACAAUGGGGGGAACCCUGAUGCAGCGACGCCGCGUGGGUGAAGGAGCACCUCGGUGCGUAAAGCCCUAUCGGCAGGGAAGAAAAGCGAACAGGUUCGCCUGGACGGUACCUGACUAAGAAGCCCCGGCUAACUACGUGCCAGCAGCCGCGGUAAUACGUAGGGGGCAAGCGUUAUCCGGAUUUACUGGGUGUAAAGGGAGCGUAGACGGCAAUGCAAGCCAGAUGUGAAAGCCCGGGGCUCAACCCCGGGACUGCAUUUGGAACUGUGUAGCUGGAGUGUCGGAGAGGCAGGCGGAAUUCCUAGUGUAGCGGUGAAAUGCGUAGAUAUUAGGAGGAACACCAGUGGCGAAGGCGGCCUGCUGGACCGCGACUGACGUUGAGGCUCGAAAGCGUGGGGAGCGAACAGGAUUAGAACCCGAGUA
rnacentral:rRNA from 1 species